rnacentral:rRNA from 1 species
UUCCCCUAGUAACUGCGAGUGAAGCGGGAAAAGCUCAAAUUUAAAAUCUGGUGGUCUUUUGGCCAUCCGAGUUGUAAUUUAGAGAAGCGUCUUCCGCGCUGGACCGUACACAAGUCUCCUGGAACGGAGCGUCAUAGAGGGUGAGAAUCCCGUCUUUGGUACGGACCCCCAGGGCUUCUGUGAUGCGCUCUCGAAGAGUCGAGUUGUUUGGGAAUGCAGCUCAAAAUGGGUGGUGAACUCCAUCUAAAGCUAAAUAUUGGCGAGAGACCGAUAGCGAACAAGUACCGUGAGGGAAAGAUGAAAAGCACUUUGGAAAGAGAGUGAAACAGUACGUGAAAUUGUUGAAAGGGAAACGCUUGAAGUCAGUCGCGUCCGCCGAGACUCAGCCUCGCUCCGGCUUGGCGUAUUUCUCGGUCGACGGGUCAGCAUCAAUUUUGUCCCUCGGAUAAUGGCGAGGGAAAGGUGGCACCUUUGCGGGUGUGUUAUAGUCUUUCGUCGCAUGCGAGGGGCGAGAUUGAGGAACUCAGCACGCGCGCCCCUCUGGGGUGUGUCGGGGCCUCGGCCCACGCCACGUGCUUAGGAUGCUGGCGUAAUGGCUUUAAACGACCCGUCUUGAAACACGGACCAAGGAGUCUAACAUGCCCGCGAGUGUUCGGGUGGAAAACCCGUGCGCGUAAUGAAAGUGAAAGUUGGGACCUUCGUCGUGAAGGGCACCGACGCCCGGACCAGACCUUCUGUGACGGAUCUGCGGUGGAGCGUGCAUGUUGGGACCCGAAAGAUGGUGAACUAUGCCUGAAUAGGGUGAAGCCAGAGGAAACUCUGGUGGAGGCUCGUAGCGAUUCUGACGUGCAAAUCGAUCGUCAAAUUUGGGUAUAGGGGCGRAAGACU